rnacentral:tRNA from 1 species
UGCAGUGUGGCUAAGUGGAUAGAGCACAGACUUCGGGGUCAGAAAGACCUGGGUUCUAAUCCCGGCUCUGCCA